GUGCAGUUUUGACGAUCCUCUGAAGGGCCUUCUUCUCCUUUACUGUUGUGUUACAAUACCACACAGUAAUGCCCCCUUCGAGGACGCCCUCCACCAGACCUCUGUAGACCUGGGCACUUUGGGCAGCCCAGGUAGCGCCGUAGGGUCCUAGAGUUACGAGUUGUACGGGGCUGCGCCAGAGUUCGUUCCACGCGACUGUUUAACCCGCCAUGACAGAGAAUGCGUUCGUGAAGAAAAAACCAUUCCUACAUCAUUCCUACAUCAUUCCUACAUCAUUCAUACAUCUGUUCAUCCAUUCCGUCAUUCAUUUGGUUACUUAUUGAAGCCAUCAUUGAUGUCAUUCGUCUGCAAGAGAUGUAAACACUCUGAACUGUUCCCUGUGUAUGCGUCUACUCUCUGACCGGAGUUACCGUCCUGGAUAAAGUGAUCCCAGCAAACACACACAUACAUUCUACAAUAGUAUGAGGCAUGAAACUACAGUUCAUGCAUGGGUUAUCUGACAUUGCUUCC
ensembl:lncRNA